GAUGAAGAACGUAGCGAAAUGCGAUAAGUAAUGUGAAUUGCAGAAUUCAGUGAAUCAUCGAAUCUUUGAACGCACAUUGCGCCCGCCAGUAUUCUGGCGGGCAUGCCUGUUCGAGCGUCAUUUCAACCAUCAAGCCCCAGGCUUGUGUUGGGGACCUGCGGCUGCCGCAGGCCCUGAAAACCAGUGGCGGGCUCGCUGUCACACCGGGCGUAGUUGAUUUUAUCUCGCUCAGGGCGUGCUGCGGGUCCCGGCCGUUAAAAGCCUUUUUUUACCCAAGGUUGACCUCGGAUCAGGUAGGAAGACCCGCUGAACUUAAGCAUAUCAAUAAGCGGAGGA
rnacentral:misc_RNA from 1 species